GAAUUCACUAGUGAUUCAGGCCUAACACAUGCAAGUAGAAAGAUUUACUUCGGUAAAGAGCGGCGGACGGGUGAGUAACGCGUGGGUAACCUGCCCUGUACACACGGAUAACAUACCGAAAGGUAUGCUAAUACGAGAUAAUAUACUUUUAUCGCAUGGUAGAAGUAUCAAAGCUCUGGCGGUACAGGAUGGACCCGCGUCUGAUUAGCUAGUUGGUGAGGUAAUGGCUCACCAAGGCGACGAUCAGUAGCCGACCUGAGAGGGUGAUCGGCCACAUUGGAACUGAGACACGGUCCAAACUCCUACGGGAGGCAGCAGUGGGGAAUAUUGCAAAAUGGGCGAAAGCCUGAUGCAGCAACGCCGCG
rnacentral:rRNA from 1 species